GGUGAAAGAAAGUACCAAAAAGCCCUCGACAAUUCGACAUAGAAGCUAGUCUAAUAAAAUCCCUGAAUUUCUCAAUUUUUACUCGUCCCGAGUUUUCUCUUUAGCGGCGGUAUCUGCCUCAAAUAUCCACGGCGGAGCUAAGCAGGUCUAUUGAUGACAAAUCUCUUGGAGUUCCGGCGAGCUACGUGAAGAGGAGUCUCAACCCCAAAUCUUCGAAGAUAGAUUCAGAUCGGAAACGGAAGAAAGGAUGUGACUACUCGUGUUUCUGAUUUUAGCUCCACCAAACGCGGUGGCGAUCUAGGUCCCUUUGGGCGAGGGCAAAUGCAGAAGCCUUUUGAGGAAGCAAUAUACACACUAAAGGUGGGAGAUAUAAGCGAGAUUGUGGACACAUACAGUGGAGUCCAUAUCAUAAAGAGACCAGACUGAUCUGUCAUCCCCUUCAGAUCCCUAUCAUGUAUCAAACAAAACAUGAACUGAGAAGUUCUUUAACAAUCAAGAACGACAAUGAGCUUACUAUUAUAAGGAAGAAGCAGUGGGUAAUUAUUAUUAUAAAGACAUGAGCUGUUAACCUCAUAA